UACGAGGGGGGCGAGCGUUGUUCGGAAUUAUUGGGCGUAAAGAGUGCGUAGGUGGUUGAAUAAGUUAUCUGUGAAAUCCCUGGGCUUAACCUGGGCAGGUCAGAUAAUACUGUUUAACUCGAGUAUGGGAGAGGGUAGUGGAAUUUCCGGUGUAGCGGUGAAAUGCGUAGAGAUCGGAAGGAACACCAGUGGCGAAGGCGGCUACCUGGCCUAAUACUGACACUGAGGCACGAAAGCGUGGGGAGCAAACAGG
rnacentral:rRNA from 1 species